rnacentral:rRNA from 1 species
UACGGGGGGGGCAAGCGUUGUUCGGAAUUACUGGGCGUAAAGGGCUCGUAGGUGGCCAACUAAGUCAGACGUGAAAUCCCUCGGCUUAACCGGGGAACUGCGUCUGAUACUGGAUGGCUUGAGUUUGGGAGAGGGAUGCGGAAUUCCAGGUGUAGCGGUGAAAUGCGUAGAUAUCUGGAGGAACACCGAUGGCGAAGGCAGCCCCCUGGGCUAACACUGACGCUCAGGCACGAAAGCGUGGGGAGCAAACAGG